rnacentral:rRNA from 1 species
GGAGGGUGCAAGCGUUGUUCGGAAUUACUGGGCGUAAAGCGCGUGUAGGCGGCUUGGAAAGUCGGAUGUGAAAUCCCGGGGCCCAACCCCGGAACUGCAUCCGAAACUGCCUCGCUAGAGUCCCGGAGAGGAAGGCAGAAUUCCCGGUGUAGGGGUGAAAUCCGUAGAUAUCGGGAGGAAUACCAGCGGCGAAGGCGGCCUUCUGGACGGUGACUGACGCUGAGACGCGAAAGCGUGGGGAGCAAACAGGAUUAGAUACCCUGGGUAGUCCACGCCGUAAACGUUGAGUGCUAGGUGUCGCGGGUAUUGACCCCCUGCGGUGCCGUCGUUAACGCAUUUAGCACUCCGCCUGGGGAGUACGGUCGCAAGGCUA